rnacentral:lncRNA from 1 species
GGGAGGGGAGUUAAGAGAGUAGUAGGGGCAGAGGGAGGUGGGGGUGGAGCAAGAGAGUAAGGAGGGGGCGAGCAGCCCCUUUUAUAGUGUCAGGCAUACCUGGCUGAUGCCAGGUAAUUGUGGGGGUGGAACUUAGAUAGAAUGCUAACAGAGGGAACUCGAUACAUAGAUGGGACACCAAAACCGAGAGGAGGCAAGGAAUUUGGCUCAUUUUUCCCCUUGAGCUUGGGCCCUGGAUCUGAUUUCUUCCUGGGAAAUACAUUGGGGUCAACAGGAGUGGAUGUCCUCACAUGUACCUCUAUAGCCAGGGUAUUGGGAGGGCUUAAGUCUGAGUGGGCAUACGUCCCCGCUUCCAGUCAGCCUCCGACUCUGAUUCAAGCUCUUACUCCCUCCCCACAGCAAUUGCAACCGUGGAGUCCUGUACACCAGUGUCUCUGUCCUGGUGGCUCUGCUCUUGGCUGGGCAGGCCACCACUGCUUACUUCCUGUACCAGCAGCAGGGCCGCCUGGACAAGCUGACCGUCACCUCCCAGAACCUGCAACUGGAGAACCUUCGCAUGAAGCUUCCGAAAUCUGCCAAACCUGUGAGCCCGAUGCGCAUGGCUACUCCCUUGCUGAUGCGCCCACUGUCCAUGGAUAACAUGCUCCAAGCG